ACUCCAGAAACAAGACAGCAGCAAGGUAGUUUUGAACACCUUCUGCAUUUCUGUAACGGUGCUAUGCUGAGGGCACUGUCAAAGUUCAGGAGCAGAGCUAGCUCGGCUGUUUGCUGUGAACAAUUUAGGAAAUAUCCCUGGGGUUAAAUACAGUUCACAUACCUCCUGCAGUUUGCCUUUUUAAGAGGUCAGGCUGUUACCCAAAAACAAGUGGGAAAGUAAAUAGGCCUGGUUUGGUUUUUUGGGUGGUUUUUUAAGUUUUGUUUUGUUGUCUUCUGGGUUUUUUUUUCUUCUUCAUUUCUACUGAGCCAAGGUCAGCUAAAUAACUGCCACCAAUAAAGUGAAUGUUGUUCACUGGUGGCAGUCACUGGCAUCCUACUUGAACACUGUGUAAAUGUCAGGCUUUAUCCUAAUGGAAAGUGAAAAUUGACUGCAGUGGCUGAAUUAUCUGGAGACAAUCCAGAAUAAAACUGCUUGCUGUGGUGGUGUUGUUGGAUCCAAAAGCAAGGAAGCACAAGUGAUACACCCCAUUGCACAGGUAGAGGUGCUCCAUCACUGGUGUUAUUGACAGAGAGCACAAUUGGAAUACUUGUGCUCUAAGGGACCCCUGGCCUCUCCUCUGUGACUGGCUCUGCAUCAGCAAGCAGUACAGUGCAGGAGGAGUGGAUCUGUACAAGGAAGAAACCGGAACUGGAGAGCAGCCAUCCACGUUUCUUCUGGGGGUGGGGAAAGUUUCUGUGCACUUUCUCAGAGUUUUUAUGGACUGAAUAUUCACUGGAGGUUGCAGCACAUUAAAAGCACACCUGGAGCACAACUUAGAGUUUACUGUCACCUAAAGUGGUCCCCUUAGUACAGUCUGAGGCAGCUGUGUGGUGCAGACCAGAGUAAACAGGGAUUCUGAGAGGUUCGCUUCAACAGUGGUCUCCUCAUUCCAAAUGAAAUGCUAAUGUAGAUGUACCCCUUCAGUUCCUCUGCAGAGCUAAAUGCCCACCUUCCCUUCCUUUCCUUUUGCAGCAGGCUGGUUAGUACUCCAUUUUAGCUCAUAGGGAUGGGACAGACAGGCUGGCAUGGAGGUUGGGUAAGUAAGUUCAUGGCAGUUAGGGAAAGAAAGGCUUUGGAGGAGGCACUAGGAUAUUUAACUUUGAUGCAGUUGGAACACUCAUUAAAUAGUUCUUUUGGUAAAGGCAGAUGUAAAAAUACCUCACAUGAUUAUCAGAAUGAAAUAUUGAAGAUAGGUAGUAGACAGGAAAGUAUUUACUUCCCUGUUAUGAGGUGCAUGUUUUAAGAGGAACCUAAGGAGAUUUCUUGGUCGUUUCUUGUUAUAACAGUCAGCAUGCAGGAGGAAUUCUGACUUCUUGGAGUCAGAAUAUGGACCUUUUCCAUAAAGCAAAAAUUCAGCCAAAAUUCUGCUCACAAAUAUAGAAAGACUUCAUUUGAUUUUGAUUUAUCUAAACAAAAUGUUUCCAUUUUACUAAAGCAGUAAGAGAGAGUAGAGCUAUACACUUUAACAAUUCCCUGCUGAAAACAUGACCAGCCUUGCCACAUUCCUGCAAAACAGUUGGAUUCUAUCUAAACUAUAUUUUAUGAUAGAAACAUUUUCCCUUUUGAUGCAUUGCAGCCAGUUCUGGCUGUACAUCCUGAUGUGAUAUGUCUUAGCUAUCACACUGGCAAUGACACAGAAGCUUGAGGCAGGCAAGCAAGACUGAGCAACCCUGUUGUCCCCGUGAGGAAGGCUUACCACAGCUUGCAGCUGAUUGUCAUUGGACCUUUUGCUUUGUCCAUAAUGUCAGUGCUAAAUGAAAGGGAUCACUUGCUCAUUAAGCAGCGUUGGUCUUACUCUUUUCUGCAGGAAAGCUCUUUUUGUAAAAACAACUUUAUGGAUGGAACGUCCUUAGAGCAUUUAGAUUUAGGCUGUCAGGUCUUUGUGUUGCAUAGAUGGAAAGAUGUGAUGGAAGGGGAGCUUCAAUGCAGGUACCUUCCCUAAGGAAAGGCUCAUCAGAGUUUUGAUCCUUGACUCUCCUAUAGGCCUUAACUUUAUAGCUUCUUGUGACAAAUGGGCCUGGAGGAUGCAGGAGGAAGUGCUUUUACUUCCUUUUCUGUUCUUACAGGCUAUCUUGCCAGAACUUUGUGGUCCUGUGACUUUUGCCUCUUAUUCUCUUUAAUAGCACAUUUGUGCUUUUAAUAUUCUGGAUUUACACCAUUUGCUGGUCUGAAAUAAAAGCCCAUUUGCCUCUGCUGUUUUAUUAAAUAGGCUUAUAGCUGCCUUCUGUAUCGAGUUUCUUUGUUGCAAACCAGACAUCUGUUGUACAGCGUAAUGCAUGGCAGGCUGUAAUUACCCUAUGAUUUGCAUAUUCAGCCAAAGUUCAGGUGAAGGCUUGAGGUCAAAAGGCCUGGUUCUGUCAUGUCCACAGCAUUUAAAAAAUGAUGGCUUUAAUAAGGCUGGCAAGAUAAAGCAAAAAUGUUGCUCAAGGACAGUCAACUGUCCAGGAGCUGACAGUUCCCCACUAGUGAUGGCAGAAAAGUGCAUCUGUAUUGAGGGUGGUGGACCUGAUGGGCUCCCUGUGUUUACAGGACUGGCACGUGUUUUGAUUCUGCAAACAUCAUCCCUGCACAGACAGAAGUAAACACCUUACAAAAAGGGGCCUGCAACUGCAGUGUGCUGCAGGCAUUCCUUAUUUCACCUUAACUUUUGCUGUCAGUGUUCAGUGUCUUUGCUUUUUUGGCAUAUGAGCAUCACGGUGCUCAUCUCUGGUGCCUUACAGGGACAGCCUGAGAGUUGAAGGGUUUGAAAUCACCAGUAAUUUAGAAAGGACUGUCCUGCUUGUUGCCUUAUCUUUACACGCUUACUGAGUUAAUUCAGCAACUCAGGUGAGGAAAUGCACAUGGGGAUGGAGGGCAGGGAAAGGUCCAGUAGGCACUUUCCUGCAAAUCAUGCUUAUGUGCCAGGGAGGAAGAAAAGAGAGAGAGAGAAAGAGAAGAACACUGAGGUGUAUUUUAGCAACUUUCAAGAAUAUUUGAUGAUGUGAAUUACUUCAGUGAAUUUUUCUUAUUGCAUCUCACAUUGAUGGUCACCAAAGGGAGGGCCCUAAGUUGUACAGUAGCUUCUGUAAGACAGCUUUACCCUCUGCACCAAAGAUGUUCUGAGGGCCUGAAGAAAUCUUGUGCAUGUAUUAUAAUAAACAAGUUAAGGGGACUUCUGGUGACACAUUUUAUAUGCACGUUAUGUUACAUAUAAGUAAGCAAGGCUGAAGCACAGAAAAGGGAAACUCUCAAUGUCCAGGCAGGCAGGAGAAGCUUCUGUCAUACUGUGGGGUAUGUCUGGAGUCUGGGAGUUGGGGGAACCACUUCUCCAAAGGUUUGCAGCACAUAUCUGACUGCUUAUUGCUUCAGAAGCACAGUUAGGCAAGUGAGUGAAGUGCUGCUGUUAAAUUUUAGAGGAUGCAGGCAAGGGAUAGGAAACCAAAGUCAUACAGUACAAUAGCAGCUUAAAAUUAAAGUGAAAAAACAAAAAAAGGCCCUUCCCAGCUGGACUCUUACUCUGGGUUUGAGCCCAGUUGUAUUUCAAAAAUACAUGAAAGACACAACUAUGACUUUCUGCACUCUUAGUGGAAAGAAAACUCAUUUGGAAAUUAAGUAUUGCUCUUAAUGCUUAUGAUUUUGAUAUGUUAGUUUACAGAAGGGAGGCAUAUAUUAAAAAUAAUGAAGUAGCACUGGCAUUUCAAUGCCGCUCAAUUACAGCAUGUCUCUCUCUUGAGGAUGACAGUUAUUAGACUGCAGGUGUGACUAUUACCAGCAUUUCUCUGGAGAUGACUUUUUUGUUCAUGUUUGAAAAAAUGUCAUAAACCUUGUUGCCUUUGUCAUCCAUUUUUUAGCU